CCGAUCAGUGCACAGAUCGCUUUUCUUAUGGAUGGACGAGACUCGAGUCCACAGUGUGGGGACACUGAAGUGAUAGUGCAGGUGCUUGUUAGAGAACAAGGGUACUGAGCGUGACCAAGACAAGAAGUCACUUGGAUGUCUAUCCACUCGUCAGUGACUUGCUUGAUGUUGCAGUAGUAUGACUGGUCCUUUGACCUGCGGUGCUUCGGCUGCUCACAGUGAG
rnacentral:lncRNA from 1 species